rnacentral:rRNA from 1 species
GUCUAUGGCCACACCACGUAAGUGCACCUGUUCUCAUCUGAUCUUGGAAGCUAAGCAGGGGCAGGCCUGGUUAGUACUUAAAUAGAAGAAAAUUUCAUCCUGAAUAUUUAGCAACUAAAAAUG